UACAGAGGGGGGCAAGCGUUAUUCGGAAUUAUUGGGCGUAAAGGGCGCGUAGGCGGCUUGGCAAGUGGAUGGUGAAAUCCCUCGGCUUAACCGAGGAACUGCCGUCCAAACUGCUUCGCUUGAGACCGGGAGAGGUGAGUGGAAUUCCCAGUGUAGCGGUGAAAUGCGUAGAUAUUGGGAGGAACACCAGUGGCGAAGGCGGCUCACUGGACCGGUACUGACGCUGAUGCGCGAAAGCGUGGGGAGCAAACGGGG
rnacentral:rRNA from 1 species